AGCAGUGUAACUUAGUGGAAAGAACCUGGGCUUGGGAGUCAGAGGUUGUGGGUUCUAAUCCUGCUUCUGCCA
rnacentral:tRNA from 1 species